rnacentral:rRNA from 1 species
AUUGAACGCUGGCGGCAUGCUUUACACAUGCAAGUCGAACGGUAACAGGCCGCAAGGUGCUGACGAGUGGCGAACGGGUGAGUAAUGCGUCGGAACGUGCCCAGUCGUGGGGGAUAACGCAGCGAAAGCUGUGCUGAUACCGCAUACGAUCUAUGGAUGAAAGCGGGGGACCGUAAGGCCUCGCGCGAUUGGAGCGGCCGAUGUCAGAUUAGGUAGUUGGUGGGGUAAAGGCCUACCAAGCCGACGAUCUGUAGCUGGUCUGAGAGGACGACCAGCCACACUGGGACUGAGACACAGCCCAGACUCCUACGGGAGGCAGCAGUGGGGAAUUUUGGACAAUGGGCGCAAGCCUGAUCCAGCAAUGCCGCGUGCAGGAAGAAGGCCUUCGGGUUGUAAACUGCUUUUGUACGGAACGAAACGGUCUGGGUUAAUACCCUGGGCUAAUGACGGUACCGUAAGAAUAAGCACCGGCUAACUACGUGCCAGCCGCCGCGGUAAUAC